rnacentral:tRNA from 1 species
GGCGCCUUCGUCAAGCGGUUAAGACACCGCCCUCUCACGGCGGGUUCAUGGGUUCGAAUCCCAUAGGCGUCACCA